UACGUAGGUGGCAAGCGUUGUCCGGAUUUACUGGGCGUAAAGAGCGCGCAGGCGGUCGUUUAAGUCGAAUGUGAAAGCCCCCGGCUCAACUGGGGAGGGUCAUUCGAUACUGAUCGACUUGAAGGCAGGAGAGGGAAGUGGAAUUCCGGGUGUAGUGGUGAAAUGCGUAGAUAUCCGGAAGAACACCGGAGGCGAAGGCGGCUUGCUGGGCUUGGUCUGACGCUGAGGCGCGAAAGCGUGGGGAGCGAACAGG
rnacentral:rRNA from 1 species